AUUGAACGCUGGCGGCAGGCCUAACACAUGCAAGUCGAGCGGAUGAAGGGAGCUUGCUCCUGGAUUCAGCGGCGGACGGGUGAGUAAUGCCUAGGAAUCUGCCUGGUAGUGGGGGAUAACGUCCGGAAACGGGCGCUAAUACCGCAUACGUCCUGAGGGAGAAAGUGGGGGAUCUUCGGACCUCAUGCUAUCAGAUGAGCCUAGGUCGGAUUAGCUAGUUGGUGGGGUGAAGGCCUACCAAGGCGACGAUCCGUAACUGGUCUGAGAGGAUGAUCAGUCACACUGGAACUGAGACACGGUCCAGACUCCUACGGGAGGCAGCAGUGGGGAAUAUUGGACAAUGGGCGAAAGCCUGAUCCAGCCAUGCCGCGUGUGUGAAGAAGGUCUUCGGAUUGUAAAGCACUUUAAGUUGGGAGGAAGGGCAGUAAGUUAAUACCUUGCUGUUUUGACGUUACCAACAGAAUAAGCACCGGCUAACUUCGUG
rnacentral:rRNA from 1 species